AGAAUAAAAUCAGCAUUACUAAUUUGAAACAACGUCGAGUGUUGAAUUAUAGGAGUACAAUCUCAAUCGAAAUUUUUGAUAGAAAUAAUUGGAUACAAAAAUGUUGGUAUACAAUAUUUUUUUUUGGCAUAUAUUACAAGUAUAUUUUAAAGAAAAUCAGUAAAAAAAUUGUAACUAUCCAAUUUUAAACGAGAGGAAUUUGCUAAAAACAACCUAAAUAUUCAUUUUAAAUCAAAAAGUAGCACACAUAUUCAAUAAAAUGCAAAAUCAACCUAAAAGAUGGUAAAAUAUUAUUUAAUUCUUAUGACCAAAUAAAAAAUAAAAAAUUAUUUUAUGAUUCUGUAAUUCAUAAGUCUACACGUAACCAAAAAAAUCUAAAUAUCUGUAGACCUUCAGAGAAAUCUACUUGGUAGACUUAUUUUAUAGUCUACAUCAUAAUUUGAUCUACUAAAUCAAGGGGAAUUGCAUCAUACAUCCAUCAAACAAAUUAUAAUUCAUCCACUACUUAAAAAUCAUGGUUUUUCAAAAUACACUGUACACAUUAUAGAUUAUUGACAUAUUACCCUUUUCAACCUACCGGUGAAACCUACUAACAAAAAUAAUUAAAAAAUAUAUAAAAAAAUUUUAGCCACAUCUUCUAAUCCAUCACCACCACCGCCACGUCUCUACUCCACCAUCUCUUUCCAGUGUUUCUCUUUCUUCUUCAGAUUAUCAACAAAAUCAUACAUUUUCUUCUGUCACAUAAUUCUUCUCUUUCAAUACUUCACCAAAAGAACAAUCAAUUGUUCUAAAGAAAAGACAACGAUGAAGUUAUAGACGAUCCACUGGUGAAGAACAGACAACGAUGAAAACGUAGACGGUGAGCACACACAACAACUCUUUCAUUUUUUUCUCAAAUCAAUUGAUUCUCACAAUCAUGAUUUUGUUUACAUACUAUGUUUUCGUUUCUGUUUUUGUUUUACAGAUCCAGUGGUGAAGAACAACGACGGCGAUUCGGUAAAAGCAUCAUCGUGUCGGGAAAAAGAGAGGAGAUGAAGACGAUCUCUAUAUGGUGGUGAAGAAUAAUGAUGGUGAACAAAAUGAAUGUGUAUCAGCCUGCCUAAAAAGAAUAGAAUUGAAGAAGAUGAACUCGCCGUCUAUACUAUAUUUGGUGAAAUGAAUAGUAUAGUAUAUAUUCUUAAGUAUAGCUACCUAUGUACGGUUACCAUACUAUUUGAGACAUAUUUCUAUACUACUCCUUAAAAAUGUAAUAAUAUGUCAUGUUUUUAAAUUUGAUAGGUCUCUUCUUUGUCAUUUUGUGUGAUUGAUUGUAAUAUGAAAUUCAUUUUUCGAGUGUUGGACAAAUUUGAUUAUUUGAAAUAUUCGUUUACUAUACUACUUAGACUAUAUGGAGUAUAAGAUAUGCAACAUGCUAACCAAGUAAAUGUGCUUUCAAGUGUUUAAUAUUGGAAAACAAUUUAUAGAUUGUAUUUGGAUUUAUAGGUUCCUGCCUAGGGUUUAGAUUUACUAAGUAAAUGUUUGGAUAUAGUAAACCUUAUUAUAUACAUUCUAUUUGGGUUUAUACUUCCUUGAUUAGCGUUUAGAUUAAUCUAUUUAUUUAGGUUUAGGGUUUAUGGUAUAUUUGGAUUAGGGUUUAGUGACUAAAAUUUAGGGUUUAGUAUUUAGAAGGUAAGGGGGUAUGGUGGGGUGAGCAUUAACUUCUUUCAUGCACUCAUAGAGAUUUUAUAGUUUCACCAAUAUGUACUAUGUUAUUUAUUUUGUUUCAUUCUAUUUGAGUUUUGUGUUUAUAUUUGGAUUUAGGGUUUAUAUCUGAGUUAGGGUUUAGUAAUUAGAGUUUAGGGUUUAGGGUUUAGUAUUUUGAAAUUUAUGUUUGGGUUUUGUGUUUAUAUUUGGGUUUAGGGUUUAUACACUUUUUAUUUUUAAAAAAUUUAUGUUUCUAUCCACUCAUUCUACUGCAUAUAGUAUAUAAAUAUGUUGUAAAUAAAUUUGUGACAUGAGUUAUUUUAAGUGAUGUGUUCGUAAAUAAUAGUGAUUCAUUAUUGACCAGCAAUAUAAAUUUCUUAGAUGGAUUAAAUUGGUAUGUGGCUGCAUGUGUUUCAAUCAAAUAAAAUACUCUUAAUUUAAUCUUCACCCUAUGUUAUUUUAACUAAGUCAUAUCUAACAAUACAAUAUUACCGGAUGAUUACAGGAAUAAAGAGCAGAACCGGAUAAUAAUUGACAUAAAUGAUAGCUAUUACAUUACGUCAAAAUCAAUGCCACUCACUUAAUUUUGAUGCCAAAGUUGGUUAUUCAGCAAAUUCACCCAUAAAUUAAUUUUAAAAAUGUAAGAAAA